GCCCUUUUAGCUCAGUGGUCGAGCGUUGGCUUUGGAAGCCACAGAUCGGUAGUUCAAAUCCACCCGGGCA
rfam:Phytophthora infestans T30-4 supercont1.11 genomic scaffold, whole genome shotgun sequence.